UACGUAGGGGGCAAGCGUUGUCCGGAUUUAUUGGGCGUAAAGAGCGUGUAGGCGGCCAGAUAGGUCAGCUGUGAAAACUCGAGGCUCAACCUCGAGAUGUCGGCUGAAACCAUCUGGCUAGAGUCCGGGAGAGGAGAAUGGAAUUCCCGGUGUAGCGGUGAAAUGCGCAGAUAUCGGGAAGAACACCCGUGGCGAAGGCGGUUCUCUGGGACGGUACUGACGCUGAGACGCGAAAGCGUGGGGAGCGAACAGG
rnacentral:rRNA from 1 species